GGGGAAUCUUGCGCAAUGGGCGAAAGCCUGACGCAGCGACGCCGCGUGAGUGAUGAAGGCCUUCGGGUUGUAAAGCUCUGUGGAGGGGGACGAAUAAGUGUAGCCUAAUACGCUACGCGAUGACGGUACCCCUUUAGCAAGCACCGGCUAACUCUGUGCCAGCAGCCGCGGUAAGACAGAGGGUGCAAACGUUGUUCGGAAUUACUGGGCGUAAAGCGCGUGUAGGCGGCUUGGCAAGUCGGGUGUGAAAGCCCUGGGCUCAACCUAGGAAGUGCACUCGAAACUGCUUCGCUUGAGUGCCGGAGAGGAAAGCGGAAUUCUCGGUGUAGAGGUGAAAUUCGUAGAUAUCGAGAGGAACAUCGGUGGCGAAGGCGGCUUUCUGGACGGUAACUGACGCUGAGACGCGAAAGCGUGGGGAGCAAA
rnacentral:rRNA from 1 species